GACGUAGGGCGCGAGCGUUGUCCGGAUUUAUUGGGCGUAAAGAGCUCGUAGGCGGCUUGUCGCGUCGUCCGUGAAAACUUGGGGCUCAACCCCAAGCUUGCAGUCGAUACGGGCAGGCUAGAGUUCGGUAGGGGAGACUGGAAUUCCUGGUGUAGCGGUGAAAUGCGCAGAUAUCAGGAGGAACACCGGUGGCGAAGGCGGGUCUCUGGGCCGAUACUGACGCUGAGGAGCGAAAGCGUGGGGAGCGAACAGG
rnacentral:rRNA from 1 species